CAGCAGCCACGGUAAAACGUAGGUGGCAAGCGUUGUCCGGAAUUAUUGGGCGUAAAGGGCUCGCAGGCGGUUUCUUAAGUCUGAUGUGAAAGCCCCCGGCUCAACCGGGGAGGGUCAUUGGAAACUGGGAAACUUGAGUGCAGAAGAGGAGAGUGGAAUUCCACGUGUAGCGGUGAAAUGCGUAGAGAUGUGGAGGAACACCAGUGGCGAAGGCGACUCUCUGGUCUGUAACUGACGCUGAGGAGCGAAAGCGUGGGGAGCGAACAGGAUUAGAUACCCCAGUAGUCCCUGUCUCUUAUAU
rnacentral:rRNA from 1 species